rnacentral:rRNA from 1 species
UACGUAGGGUGCAAGCGUUGUCCGGAAUUAUUGGGCGUAAAGAGCUCGUAGGCGGUCUGUCGCGUCGGCUGUGAAACCCGGGGCUCAACCCCGGGCCUGCAGUCGAUACGGCAGACUGGAGUACUGCAGGGAGACUGGAAUCCUGGUGUAGCGGUGGAAUGCGCAGAUAUCAGGAGGAACACCGGUGGCGAAGGCGGGUCUCUGGGCAGUAACUGACGCUGAGGAGCGAAAGCGUGGGAGCGAACAGG